UGAGUCCUAAACCCUGCAUUUUGUCAAUCUUCAGACUGGGAUCAACCGGAGAUUUCUGUUCAGGACCAAAUCUUGUAAACAAAACCAAGUGACUAAGAUCUCUUCAGUCAUUGGCUAGCACUCACGGGGUUUUGUACGUGUGGAUGAAGGCCAGGUUGAACACUUUUUACUGUAACUUUAGCACACCAGAGGCAUGCUGCAAGAUGGGUACUGAGGACUCUAUGGCUACGAGGUGAGUUGGAGUCAUUGCCCUCAAACUGACAUCCGUUCAAAAGCCAACAACAACAAGCCGGGUGCUGCUUUACUAACUGCUCUAACAACAGUUCAAGCAGAAAUGGAGACUCAUCAGACCAGACAACUUUUUUCCAAUCUUCUGUUGUCCAGUUUUGGUGUGUGCAACUUACAUUAUCAUUACCACAAGCACGGCAAUGGCAUGUUCCAUUUUCAAGAUGUCCCUUCAGGGAGCCACACAAGCCUCAAGGGAACUUCAAGACUCACCUGCUCGGUUGUCCUGGCCUGUAGAUGGUCUCCUGGACAACCUAAAAAUCCAAAACCCCCUACAUGUCAUAUAUACAUGCCUAAGCAUUAGAAUAUUACUGGUUUAAGUCUUUAUCAUUUCCAAAUAAUGACUUAUUACAGGGCUUCUUUUUUUUCCAGCUAAUGGAGCCUGUAUGGAUGUGUUUUAUGUGUUGAAAACGUGAAUUCCAUGUUCCAUGAUAGGGCAGCUGUACUCAAUCCCGGCAAUAGUCAAUAUGAAGUUGACCACUUAAUGACAUUUAAAGGAAGAAAUCGCAUCUUAAUGUGCAUGCAUGAGCAGGGAUGUGUGUAGAUUUGUGCUACACCCCCAGCUCAGAUCACAGCAGCAUGAGAGCAUCUGUGUCAACAAGCAAAAGAGCCUAAAGUGUGAUCCUGUGUGUCGGGUCCCAAGAGAAGCUCCACAGUCCUCACCCCUUUGGAACUACCAACAUCCACAGAUCAUGAUCACCUUUUGUACUCUGCAGUCAUGUGGAAACAGAUGGUAGAAACAUGCUCACAGUUUGAACAAAUCUAAAGAAACUGGCGUUUCUGUCCAUGAUCCUGAUUCUUGCACCUGCUUCCACAGGGUGAUAGCUCAACUCAAGUUCUGAAAUACUGCUUCACAAGUCCUGAUCUUUUGACACUAAUAAAUAUUAAAACAUUUA